GACGAACGCUGGCGGCGUGCUUAACACAUGCAAGUCGAACGGAAAGGCCCUGCUUUUGUGGGGUGCUCGAGUUGCGAACGGGUGAGUAACACGUGAGUAACCUGUCCUUGCCUUUGGGAUAACUUCAGGAAACUGGGUCUAAUACCGGAAAGGAGCUCCUGCUGCAUGGUGGGGGCUGGAAAGUUUCGGCGGUUGGGGAUGGACUCGCGGCUUAUCAGCUUGUUGGUGGGGUAGUGGCUUACCAAGGCUUUGACGGGUAGCCGGCCUGCGAGGGUGACCGGCCCAGUUGGGACUGAGAUACGGCCCAGACUCCUACGGGAGGGAACAGUGGGGAAUAUUGCACAAUGGGAGGAAGGCUGAUGCAGCAAAGCCGCGUGCGGGAUGACGGCCUGCGGGUUGUAAUCCGCUUUCGCCUGUGACGAAGCGUGAGUGACGGUAAUGGGUAAAGAAGCACCGGCUAACUACGUG
rnacentral:rRNA from 1 species